rnacentral:rRNA from 1 species
UACGUAGGAGACGAGCGUUGUCCGGAGUUACUGGGCGUAAAGGGUGCGCAGGCGGCCCGCCGCGUGUGGGGUGAAAUCUCCCGGCUCAACUGGGAGGGGGCCCGUGCAAACGGGCGGGCUUGAGGGUCGCAGAGGGGCGUGGAAUUCCCGGUGUAGCGGUGAAAUGCGUAGAUAUUGCUCGGAAGGCCGGAGCCGAAGGGGCCCCACUGGUACGCAACUGACGCUGAGGCACGAAAGCGUGGGGAGCAAACAGG